AACGAACGCUGGCGGCAUGCCUAAUACAUGCAAGUCGAACGAGAUCUUCGGAUCUAGUGGCGCACGGGUGCGUAACGCGUGGGAAUCUGCCCUUGGGUUCGGAAUAACUUCUGGAAACGGAAGCUAAUACCGGAUGAUGACGUAAGUCCAAAGAUUUAUCGCCCAAGGCUGAGCCCGCGUCGGAUUAGCUAGUUGGUGGGGUAAAGGCCCACCAAGGCGACGAUCCUUAGCUGGUCUGAGAGGAUGAUCAGCCACACUGGGACUGAGACACGGCCCAGACUCCUACGGGAGGCAGCAGUAGGGAAUAUUGGACAAUGGGCGAAAGCCUGAUCCAGCAAUGCCGCGUGAGUGAUGAAGGCCUUAGGGUUGUAAAGCUCUUUUACCCGGGAUGAUAAUGACAGUACCGGGAGAAUAAGCUCCGGCUAACUCCGUGCCAGCAGCCGCAGUAAGAC
rnacentral:rRNA from 1 species